rfam:Mesocricetus auratus contig191771, whole genome shotgun sequence.
AGAGGUAAGGUUAAUUUGGCUGCAACACCCACCACUUCAUUGAUUGCCAGAGUUGAUUUGACUGAUAUGGAUGGCUAUCCAGGAGGUUCCUUCCUCCCUAGCCACUCUAUGUAUGUUUCUCCUGAGCUAUGUACUGGUUUGGAGAGGAUGGCCUUCCCUCAAAGAGGAAGGCAGUUAUUCAGUCAAGAAUAUAUGAAUAGCUGCACUCUUUUCAAAUAUUCCCUCAAGACUAAUGAGACCUCUACUCCAUGCCUUCUCUAACCGAACCUUCCAUAUUGCAACUACCAUCUUC